GACGAACGCUGGCGGCGCGCUUAACACAUGCAAGUCGAACGGAAAGGCCUGCUUUCCCUUGUGGAUUGCGGGUACUCGAGUGGCGAACGGGUGAGUAACACGUGAGUGAUCUGCCCCCAACUUGGGUAUAAGCCUGGGAAACUGGGUCUAAUUCCCGAUAGGACUGCAGGGUGGUGCCUGUGGUGGAAAACGAUUUUCUAGUGGUUGUGGAUGAGCUCGCGGCCUAUCAGCUUGUUGGUGGGGUAAUGGCCUACCAAGGCGGCGACGGGUAGCCGGCCUGAGAGGGUGGACGGCCGCAUUGGGACUGAGAUACGGCCCAGAGUCCGACGGGAGGCAGCAGUGGGGAAGAUUGCACAAUGGGCGGAAGCCUGAUGCAGCGACGCCGCGUGGGGGAUGACGGCCUGCGGGUUGUAAACUCCUUUCGACCGCGAGGAAGCCACCUGGUUGGAAGGGUGGUGACGGUAGUGGUAGAAGAAGCACCGGCUAACUACGUG
rnacentral:rRNA from 1 species